rnacentral:rRNA from 1 species
GACGAACGCUGGCGGCGUGCCUAACACCUGCAAGUCGAACGAAGUGGCGAACGGGUGAGUAACGCGUAAUCAACCUGCCCUUCAGAGGGGGACACCAGUUGGAAACGACUGCUAAUACCGAAUACUGAAGGAGGGGAUUGCGUUUGAUUAGCUAGUGGGAGGGGUAACGGCCCAACAAGGCGAUGUUCAGUAGCCGGUCUGUGAGGAUGAACGGCCACAUUGGGACUGAGACACGGCCCAGACUCCUACGGGAGGCAGCAGUGGGGAAUCUUCCGCAAUGGACGAAAGUCUGACGGAGCAACGCCGCGUGAGUGAUGACGGCCUUCGGGUUGUAAAGCUCUGUUAAUCGGGACGCGGUACCGGAAUAGAAAGCCACGGCUAACUACGUGCCAGCAGCCGCGGUAAUUC